AAAGAAAAUUGUAGCUCUUUGCCGCAUCUACUGCGAGAAUGAAGACCAUUCUCAGCAAUCAGACUGUUGACAUUCCAGAAAAUGUCGACAUCACACUAAAAGGACGCACAGUCAUUGUGAAGGGCCCCAGAGGCACUCUGAGGAGGGACUUCAACCACAUCAAUGUAGAACUCAGUCUCCUUGGAAAGAAAAAGAAGAGGCUCCGGGUUGACAAAUGGUGGGGAAAUAGAAAGGAACUGGCAACUGUUCGCACCAUCUGUAGUCAUGUACAGAAUAUGAUCAAGGGUGUUACACUGGGCUUCCAUUACAAGAUGAGGUCUGUGUAUGCUCACUUCCCCAUCAACAUCGUUAUUCAGGAGAAUGGUUCUCUUGUUGAAAUCCGAAAUUUUUUGGGUGAAAAAUAUAUCCGCAGGGUUCGGAUGAGGCCAGGGGUUGCUUGUUCAGUAUCUCAAGCCCAGAAAGAUGAGCUGAUUUUAGAAGGAAAUGACAUUGAACUUGUAUCAAAUUCAGCUGCUUUGAUUCAGCAAGCCACAACUGUUAAGAACAAAGAUAUCAGAAAAUUUUUGGAUGGUAUCUAUGUUUCUGAAAAAGGAACAGUUCAGCAGGCUGAUGAGUAAGAUUUGAGUUGUCCCGGCUACAGAAACAACAAGAUGCCAGAUGAUUCUUCACAUUCAUUUGUGAUGUUUUACGAUACAAUAAAAAGUCUAUUGACUUAGAAAAAAAAAAAAAAAAA